GUUCAGUUCUGUUCCAGCUUACAAAAUAAAGAGCUGCUUUAGAGAAAUCGCUGUGUCGUCUGCUAUGUCAACCCACAACUUAACACUGGCGACGAGGAUGGGAUUGAUGGACAUCAGAGCACAGCCAGAUGCGGCCAGCCUCUGAACUGAGCUGAAUCACAGAGCUGAAUCACAGAGCGAAAUCACUGAGCGAAAUCACUGGACAGAACCAAUUCAGAGCUGACUGUUCUGGCUAGAGCACUGUGUUCCAUCCAUCGCCCUUCACGCCGGCAUCGGAAUCAUGGCUUCACUUGUGCCUCUACCGCCGUUUGCGCCAGCCUCUGAAUCGUGGGACUCCUACCUUGCUCGGUUCGACUGCUACCUCCAAGCCAACGAGCUGACUGCAGUAUCAAAGGAACGGAAGCGGGGCCUAUUCCUCAGCCUCUGUGGGCCUGAGGUGUUUGAGACGGCCCGAGCAUUGGUUGCGCCUGAAGCAGUCCAGGCAACACCAUGGGACACGAUCCAAGAGAAGCUCCGCAACCACUACGCGCCAAAGCCGUCCAAGAUUGCUGCCCGCCAUGCGUUUUACCACCGGAACCAGGCAGAGGGGGAGUCAAUCAGCAACUACACCACUGCCCUCAGACAGGCUGCAAUGCACUGCGAGUUCCGAGACUUAGACGAUGCCCUGAUGGAUCGAAUCGUCUGCGGGGUCCGGGACAUCCAUCUGCAACGGCGUCUCCUUGCCAAGCCAGACCUCACGCUACAGAAAGCCAUUGAGGAGGCUGUGGCCUCAGAAGCUGCUGAACGCUCCGCCCAGGAGAUCCGCAAGUCCAGCAGCCCGCGUCUUGCUAGGAAGCCAGUUCCAGUGCAUCAUGAAAAGGCCAGCAGUGAUGAGGCAUCCUCCAGUGAAGACGAUGAUGUGCACCAGACAAAGCGGGAGCACAGGAAGUUCCAACAGAAGUCCAAGGGCCAACCAGAAUGUGCCGGCUGCGGAGGCAACCAUUCCCGUGCCAAGUGUCGAUUCAGAGACGCCAUCUGUAGGAAGUGUUCCAGAAGGGGCCACAUCACUAAGGUCUGCCGAUCGGCUCCGUCUGACACUCCCCCUUCACCGACUCGCAAGUCCAAGUCUUCACUCCAGUCUGCCAAGGAAAGCUGUUUCGCUCUCACCAACUGCCCCUGCCCGUCUGGAACCACGAUUGGCCAAACCGACUCGCCUACGCGACGCAAGCAUAACGUCACGGUGCUCAUUGAAGGAGCUCCAUGUGACAUGGAGAUCGACACCGGGUCUGCCCUGUCCAUCGUGUCUUGGAGCACCAUCAAAAGACUGGUACCCAGAGUGUCCAAAAGGCAACUCGACUCUCACCGCGUACACCUGAGAGACUACCAGGGAAACGACAUUCCCGUGGUAGGCGUUGGCCGGUUCCGGAUCGCCUUCAAGGAUUUUUUGGGCCUGCUCCGGUUGGUGGUGGUCGAAGGUCAGCGGCCAAGCCUCCUAGGGCUAGACUGGUUUGAUGCCCUCGGCCUGGAAGUCACCGGCAUCAACUGCAUCUCUAACGCAGAGACUGAGGGUCUGGUCAAAGACUUUGCCGAGGUUUUUGACGGCACUUUGGGGCAAUAUACAGGUACGCCCAUCUCCUUUAGCCUUGAUCCACAAGUCGCCCCCAUCAAGCUAAAGCCACGCCGGGUUCCCUUUGCUCUCAAGGCUAAGGUGGACGAACAACUGGACAAGCUGAUCGCCCAAGGAGUUUUGGAGCCGGUUGACCAUGCCAAGUGGGAAACCCCCAUCGUCAUGCCUGUCAUGCCAGAUGGCUCGGUGAGAAUCUGCGCUUACUAUAAGUUCACGAUCAACAAGGCACUUCAGCAGCACGCUUAUCCGGUUCCUGUUGUCCAACACCUGCUGCAUUCCCUGGGUGAGGGUAAGGUCUUCGCUAAGCUGGACCUUGCCCAAGCCUAUCAACAACUGCCCGUCGAUGAUGCCACUGCUGAAGCCCAGACGAUCGUCACCCACCGAGGGGCAUUCCGUUGCCGCCGGUUGCAGUUCGGGGUGAGUGUGGCUCCUGGCAUCUUCCAAAGCCUUAUGGAGCGUCUCCUGCAAGGGCUUCCGGGCGUGGUACCAUAUUUUGAUGACGUCUUGGUGUCCGCAGACUCACACCAGCAGCUGUUCGAGCGCCUCCGUGCCGUGCUGACCAGGUUCCAAGAGGCCGGGCUCAAGGUAAAGAGGGAGAAGUGCCAGAUUGCCGUUCCACAGGUAGAGUUCCUGGGCUAUCUUAUCAAUGCCUCCGGCCUUCACCCGACCACAUCCAAGAUCCGCGCUAUCCAGCAGGCCCCCAUCCCAAAGAACAAGACGGAGUUGCAGGCGUUCCUGGGGCUGCUGAACUUUUAUAACAUGUUCCUGCCCCACAAAGCCACGGUGGCUGAGUCUCUUCACCGACUCCUCAGCACAAAGACACCUUGGUCCUGGGGUCAUCGGGAGACGGCAGCCUUCAACGCGGUCAAGGCUCUCCUUUCAUCGGACCAUGUGCUGGUACAGUACAGUGAAUCCAGGCCGCUGGUCCUUGCCUGCGAUGCCUCACCUUUUGGCAUCGGCGCUGUCCUUAGUCACCGUUUUCCAGACGGAAGAGAAGCACCGCUCGCCUACUUUUCCAGGACGCUAUCUCCGACGGAACGGAAUUACAGCCAGCUCGACAAGGAGGCACUGGCACCUGUGGCUGGAGUGAAGAGGUUCCAUGAAUACCUCUAUGGCAGGACUUUUGACCUCAUCACUGACCACAAGCCGCUCCUGGGCCUCCUCGCCGGUGAUCGUCCAACUCCACCGGUCCUCUCGCCACGCAUGCUGCGAUGGACUGUUUUCCUGGCUGCCUACCACUACCGGCUCGUCCAUCGCUCAGGGAAAUCGAUGGGCCAUGCCGACGCCCUCAGCCGUUGUCCUCUUCCAGCGUUUGUGGAAGACCCGGCUCCAGCUUCAUCGCUCCUCCUGAUUGAGGAUCUUCCGGCAGCGCCUGUAUCGGCUGCCACUGUGGCCUCCGCAUCUGCCCAGGAUCGCACCAUCAGCCGUGUGCUCAACUGGGUGUGGAGGGGGUGGCCACAAGGGCCUUUUGCAUCGGAGUUUCAGCCCUUCGCAACCAGACAACAUGAACUCUCGGCUCAUCGCAGCUGUCUGCUGUGGGGAGACCGCGUUGUGAUUCCCCAAAGACUCCGUCAACGCGUCCUGGAGGCUCUGCACGUUGGCCACCCAGGAAUUGUCAAAAUGAAGGCGUUGGCUCGGUGUUACGUCUGGUGGCCUAACAUGGACGAUGCCAUCACUGCCUGGGUGUCCGCCUGUCAAGCGUGCCAAGAAUCGAGGCCUGCACCACCGGCAGCUAAGGGACACACCUGGGAGACGCCAAAGACACCCUGGUCAAGGGUGCACAUUGAUUUGGCCGGCCCCUUUCACGGCCGGACCUUUAUGGUAGUGGUGGACACCUAUUCCAAAUGGCUGGAGGUGGCCCUGAUGCCCUCCACCACUACCGAGGCUGUCAUCCGGGUGCUGCGAGGACUGUUUGCGACGCAUGGGUGUCCUGAUGUUCUUGUCUCCGACAACGGACCGCAGUUCACGUCAGGCACUUUUGAGCGGUAUCUUUUGGGACUGGGCAUCCGCCAUGCCCUAACGGCACCCUUUCAUCCAUCCAGCAACAGGCAAGCGGAGAGAAUGGUGCGCUCGGCAAAAGAGGCACUGGCAUGCCUGGACCGGGGAGACUGGCACGAGCGGGUCGCCGAAUACUUGUUCGUGCAACACAUCACCCCUCAUGCGACCACAGGACGGAGUCCUGCUGAACUGCUUAUGGGCCGCCGCCUCAGGUCACCGCUUGACCGGCUGCACCCGGACUUUGCCGUGGCUGAACCCCCAGGCUGUGCCAACGCGCCACGGUCAUUUGUUCCAGGAAACCAGGUCUUUGCCCGGAACUAUGUGGGGGACAUUCCUUGGGUGCCAGCCACAGUAGUGGGAGUCACUGGACCUCGCUCAUACCAGGUGGCACUCGAAGACGGAUGCUUGUGGCGCCGGCACAUAGACCAGCUUAGGCGCAGGGCUGGGGACUUGGACACUACCGUGGUGCCCCCAACUGCGCUUGUGGCUCCAGAAGAGACACUUACAGAUGGUGAGGCUCCACCUGUACCUCCCUCGCAAACUGCCAGUGUGGAGCCGAACCAAGCCGCUUCAGAGGGUCUGCCAGACUUACAACAGACUCAGACCACUCAACUUGCGGAGGCUCCACCUGCAGCAGCGGAUCCAGGGGAUUUGGUUUCAACGCCACCUAGGGUCGCACCACAGCCUCAGCAAGAAUUGGGUGGCCCCCCGGACUUGGCUACCAGUCCCCGGCGGUCUGGCAGAGUUUCCAAGCGCCCAACUUAUUUAAAGGACUAUGUUGUUGGACAUGUAUCACUGUUGGUCUAAGUAUGGGAAAUGUAACCGAUAUGCUUUUGUGCCUAAUUGAACCAUUAUGUGUAGUGCUGUAUAUAAGGAAACCAUUACGAUUGUAACUAACGUCUUAUCUCGGUGGGGAGGGGUGUUAUGUACUGAAGUUCUCACCCUGGGCCAGCAGGGGGAUAUUGUAGAUAGUUUUCACUCAGGUCCACGUCAGUUAUUUUAGGCGGGAAACCCUGGGUUGUUGUUGCUACAAUGUUGACAGCCAGCUGCCUAUAAAAGCAGGCCGGCUGAGCUGUUUGCUGCUCAGUUCUGUUCCAGCUUACAAAAUAAAGAGCUGCUUUAGAG
rnacentral:lncRNA from 1 species